rnacentral:rRNA from 1 species
CCUACGGGAGGCAGCAGUGAGGAAUAUUGGUCAAUGGACGAGAGUCUGAACCAGCCAAGUAGCGUGAAGGAUGACUGCCCUAUGGGUUGUAAACUUCUUUUAUAUGGGAAUAAAGUGUUCCACGUGUGCGUUUUUGUAUGUACUAUAUGAAUAAGGAUCGGCUAACUCCGUGCCAGCAGCCGCGGUAAUACGGAGGAUCCGAGCGUUAUCCGGAUUUAUUGGGUUUAAAGGGAGCGUAGGUGGAUUGUUAAGUCAGUUGUGAAAGUUUGCGGCUCAACCGUAAAAUUGCAGUUGAAACUGGCAGUCUUGAGUAAAGUAGAGGUGGGCGGAAUUCGGGGUGUAGCGGUGAAAUGCUUAGAUAUCACGAAGAACUCCGAUUGCGAAGGCAGCUCAAUGGACUGCAACUGACACUGAGGCUCGAAAGUGUGGGUAUCAAACAGGAUUAGAUACCCCUGGUAGUC